rnacentral:rRNA from 1 species
GAUGAACGCUGGCGGCAUGCCUUACACAUGCAAGUCGAACGGCAGCAUGACCUAGCUGGCUCGCUGGAGUUAGAGGGGCAAAGGUGUGAGUAAUGCAUCUGAACGAUCCAUUUGAUUGGGGAUAAUUUGGGGAAACGUACGCUAAUACGGCAAAUUCUCUGAGCAGGAAGGCAGAAAAGUUACAGACGGUGUUCUAGAAAAUCAUACGAUGCUGCAUUAGCUAGUUGGUGAGGUAAAGGCUUACCAAUGCAACGAUCCGUAGCGGGUCUGAGAGGAUGAUCCGCCACACUGGGACUGAGACACGGCCCAGACUCCUACGGGAGGCAGCAGUGGGGAAUCUUGGACAAUGGGCGGAAGCCUGAUGCAGCCACGCCGCGUGAGUGAAGAAGGUCUUCGGGUCGUAAAACUCUGUUAGCAGGGAAGAACAUGUGUGCUAGAAACUAUGGUGAGCAUGACGGUACCAGAACAAGAAGCACCGGCUAACUACGUG